rnacentral:tRNA from 1 species
GCCUUUGUGGUGUAGUGGUCAACACGCUCGACUCGUAUUCGAGAGGUUCGUGGGUCGAGUCCCGGCGAGAGGCA